AGAUGUUAAAAGCAAGAGACAUGGGAGAUCAUCAUUCCCUUGAGAUUUUAUAAAUCAAACCAACUUUGGAGUUGUCUGAUUUGGAGAGUCAUUAUUCUUGGUCUGCGCUCUUAGAGGCCACUGAUGAAGAACAGGCGGUGACUGGGAUGAAUCCUGGUCAGAGAGGAGAAUCUUCUUUCCCCUAAACUGAUGCAGCGGUGGUUUUAAAGGAGGACGCUGCCCUGGAUGAUGUAGAAGAUGUCAGAUGCUGUGCUGAUGGGGUUUCUUCAUGAUUACAUCAGUUAUGCUAAAGAGAUCAUGAAAAUUGACCGUGAUGCAUGAUCUGUAUUCAUGGACAAUGAAACAAACUGUAAGUGUAUAAUUUGUUAAAAAAAAAAAGUUAAAUGCUUUUUCUGUGUUGUUUAGUAGAAAAGUUUACACUCUGUCAUUCAUACACCUGCUCACAUUCUUUCACACACACACACACACACACACACACAUGCGUCUGUUAAAGGUUAUAAUAUCGAAGUUAAUGUUGUGAUUGUAAAUUUAUUGUAUGUGUUUUCGUAUAUUUUUAUACAAUAUAUACAAUUGAACAAAGUCCAAUUUGAUCUUAAGUUAUAUUCAUCAAAUGUUCAAUGCUUUAUGAACUCUGUUGCUGUUAAUGCCAUCCUUUUCUGCAUUUCUUCUAACAUGUUACUUUUUGACUUUUCUCUUGUUUUUAAUAAAUAUUUUCCUUUUGGUAAUUA